rnacentral:lncRNA from 1 species
UAGUCAAAGUAAAAGAUAUCAAAAACCGAAUAACUCUGAGUCCGUGUUUGUUUGGAGAUCUCUUCAACCUCAUUAAGAACUAGUGAGAAAGCAUUUGGAGAUAUCUCAAUUUAAACGGAUCAUUACAUAAACAUGAGUACCUCUCCACCGUCCAAUCAGAGUUAACAUGUUAAUACAAUACACCGAACAAAUUUGCAGUAGGCUUGCAUUUUAAACUUUAUUCCUAUAAAAAUACGCGUGAUGGUAAGAGCAUAGAUGAAAGCAUAUAUUGUCGCAGUCAUUGAUUAUUUUCAUCCGUAAAACGUCUAUCUGAAUUUCAGCUACAUCUACAGCGAAAGCUGAAUUUCCGAGUAACCCCAGAGUGCAGUCUGGACGAUGGGGCGGGGCGACACUUCGAGGCGGAGCGACACGUGUCGCCCCGCCCAUAUUUGUUUCCCCCGCCUUUGACAUUUUCCUCCGAGCCAGCAGGGGGCAGUUUGCGUUGAAACUAACAGAACGGUGGCAACUACAGCAGCAGAGUAAUAACGCUAUUACGUUGAUUGCUUGAGGUGAGUAAAGGUGGUUGUGUAAAUAUCUUAUAAUAUGAAAUGCGAUGUUCGAUCAUUUAUUUAUCCAUGGUACGUUCAAUUUGAAUAAUUAUUGUUAAUAAUUGUUAUAAAUUGCUCAUUUUAUUGUUCUGUGUGGAUUGUAACAGUACACUCUGUACAUGGCUUUAGUUCAUAGGUUCGAUUUUACAGAGGUAUGGCAUCACAUUUGUCAAGUUAUUUGAACAGACAUGCAUGAUUUUUGUGUAUAUUAUUAUUAUUAUUAUUAUUAUUAUUAUUAUUAUUUUUCAGGAUGACAUGAUCAGGAGGUGGUGGUGUUCUGUUCUCCUGGACAGCUUUACUCCGCAAAUAGCUCAACCACUGAGGGGAGGAACUUCACCAUUCACCAUGUCUUCAGGAGGCAGAGUCCAGCAAAGCAGCUUCCACUGGAAAUCCUCAGGGAAGUUAUUUUGUCGGCGGGUGACUCUGCAUAUUUGACACUUUCUCU